UAAGACUGAUUGUGCGUUUAUUACUUUUUCUGAUAUUUAUAGAUGUUUUUAAUUACGAUUGAUAUAUUAUCUUUUAUUUCCGGCGAGAGAGACAGACGAUAACGGAAGUAGAGACGCAGGCGAUCUGCCCGCGGGUGUGUUGCAAAACAAUAUUAUUUUUACAGAUCUGCCCACGGGCGUGGUGCAAAACAAUAUUAUAGACCUGACUGAGGAGAACGAGGAGGAGGAGGGACAUAAACCCGGACCAAGCAACGCCGAUACACAGAAGCGACCGAGAGAAGCUGAUGAGUCGUCGGUCGCCCCCGAGAGAAAGAAAAGACUUGUUGCUAUCGUAACUCUGAUCAUAGCGGUUGGAGACGCAGGUGACGACGGUGACCGAGAGCGUCUCAAUAAUGAUCAACCUAGGGCAGAGACUCCGCU